GCUCCGCACCGUGCCCUGCCUUUACCUGCCCCCGGGGCCCGCGCCAGAGGGAACCUCCCUCCUCCCGUGCUUCUGCAGCUUUAGCGGCUUUUUCCUUUUUGGAAGCGGGAGUGGGAAAAAAAACACACGCAAAGCCCAAGCAGCCCCCCACCCCCGCACAGAAAUGCCAGCCACCCGGGCGAGACCGAAAUGCGGCGGCUCUCGCCCCGAGCCCAGCCCCGAGCCCGCAGCGGCGGCGGCUGCAGCCGGGCGGCCCGGCGCGGCUCCGCGCAGCCCUCCCCAGGCCCCGAGCAGCCUUUUAAGUUUCCCCUUUGUUUUCAGAAACUCGCACACGUUUCCUGCCCCACGCGAAGACCCAACGAGCUAACCCAAACCUCUCCCAGCCAUACGUGCGCGCUGGGCGUGCUCCCGGGCGCAGCGAGCCACAGACUACCUCUCUCUCUCGUUGAAAAUCUUUGCGGCAACUUAUUUUCCCUAGAAAGCUAUUGCCUACGACUCAUCUCCAACACACAGUGAGCGGCGGGCGCUGCCGGACACACUGCGACCUAAAGGGGGGAAAGCUCUGGCGAAAGGCGGUGUCGCGACCCGGGAUGCACCUUUCGGGCUCCUGGUUCGUGGCUCGCUCCAUUCCUCCGCAGCACAGCGCUGCAGACCGCAGCCGAGUCGCUUUUCUCCCUCCCGGACCGUGCAGCAAAAUAAUCGGCGGAGCCGGGAGCGACCCCGUGUCCAAAGGCUCCCCGGUUUCCCAACCGCUCCGAGACCACAUUCACCUCCAGUAGGAAACGACAGCUGAAAAACGCCGUUAUCUCGGGGAAAGAGGCAUUUCCCAGGGGCUUCCCCCCCCGGUGCGGGAGAGCCUGCAAAGCGAGCCAGCAGAGGCCGUUUGGGGGAGGCUUUCAGGACGAUGGCAAUUAUCAAUAACCGCUCGCUGUCCCGGCUGCCCCUCGGAAAAUUUUUGCUCUUUGAGAUUGUCUAAAUCAGCUGUAAAUCUGGCAAAGCAGUCAAUGAAAUAGCCAUCCCCAAGCAUGCGUUUCAAGUUUCUGUUGCUUAGCCGACGACCUAUAGUAAGCGCCAUCGACUAUUUCGGGGUAAUUAGCUAUAUCAGGCUGACAUU